rnacentral:rRNA from 1 species
ACAGCCGUUGCACACGAGUCAGUCGAUCCUAAGCACUAGGGGAAACCCGAUGUCGAUGAGAGAGAGAAAAAUGAAAAAUAAUUAUUAAAAAAAAAAUCAGCUUCUCUCGUCGUGCGAAAGGGAAUCCGGUU